rnacentral:misc_RNA from 1 species
UCUCCUGCACCUCGGCGCACACCUGCACCGGCGACGGCGGCGGCAUGGUGCUGCGCGCCGGCCUGCCCUUGCAGGACAUGGAAUUCGUGCAAUUCCAUCCGACCGGCAUCUUCCCGGCGGGCUGCCUCAUCACCGAANNCGAAGGCGGCUACCUGUCGAAUUCGGAAGGCGAGCGCUUCAUGGAGCGCUAUGCGCCGUCCGCCAAGGACCUUGCCUCGCGCGACGUCGUCUCGCGCGCGAUGACCAUCGAAAUCCGCGAAGGCCGCGGCGUCGGCAAGGGCAAGGACCACCUGUUCCUGCA